rnacentral:rRNA from 1 species
AGGGUGGCAGGUGGUGCAUGGUUGUCGUCAGCUCGUGUCGUGAGAUGUUGGGUUAAGUCCCGCAACGAGCGCAACCCUCGCCUCUAGUUGCCAGCAUUCGGUUGGGCACUCUAGAGGGACUGCCGGCGACAAGUCGGAGGAAGUGGGAUGACGUCAAAUCAUCAUGCCCCUUAUGACCUGGGCUACACACGUGCUACAAUGGGCGGUACAAAGGGCUGCGAACCCGCGAGGGGGAGCGAAUCCCAAAAAGCCGCUCUCAGUUCGGAUUGCAGGCUGCAACUCGCCUGCAUGAAGCCGGAAUCGCUAGUAAUCGCGGAUCAGCAUGCCGCGGUGAAUACGUUCCCGGGCCUU